CCUCUCAGAGCCAGAGGCCUCAGACAGAAAGGCAUGCUCCGCUCUCCGGGACAGAUGCACACAAUGAAGCUCCUCCCACCCAGGAUGGACGUAGGCUAGAAUCUUCCCGUUUAUGACAGGAAUCUGGCAGCCCACGCUAUCAGCGGCAACAGCAACAGUUAAGUCAAUGAACUCAGCAGCAAGUUGAAGGCCAAGGAAGCAAAAGCCAGUUUCCUUGUUUAGUCGGCAUGCAUUCGCUGAACACAGUACUGCAUUCACAGAUCCACGGUGAAGAGUGCAUGGUCAAGAAAGGCCAUAACUGCCGCAGAGGGAUCAAACCCAGGGUCCAGCACAUGCCAGGUGAGCACUGUGGUAUUGAUCUGACGUGCUCCUUAGAAGGCUGUUCAAUGGUUCAAACUAGACACAUUGUACUAUUUGAAAGGACACCAUGCCAUUAAGUCUAUAAGUUUUGAAAAAGGGCAUUAAAUAAGAUUACACAUAGAAAGAGGAGGGGAAAGAAAAGCAGAUGUGUCAAAGGAAAAAAACAGAGUAUGACCAAUAGAAAAACGCAUCCCAGAGUUCCUGCGGCCGCAGCUCUAUGGUUAAGGAGCCAGGAUGAAAUACAAA